AAUGAACGCUGGCGGCAUGCCUUACACAUGCAAGUCGAACGGCAGCAUGACCUAGCUUGCUAGGUUGAUGGCGAGUGGCGAACGGGUGAGUAAUGCAUCGGAACGUGCCUUUUAGUGGGGGAUAACGUAGCGAAAGUUACGCUAAUACCGCAUAUUCUCUGAGGAGGAAAGCAGGGGACCUUCGGGCCUUGCGCUAGAAGAGCGGCCGAUGUCGGAUUAGCUAGUUGGUGAGGUAAAGGCUCACCAAGGCAACGAUCCGUAGCGGGUCUGAGAGGAUGAUCAGCCACACUGGGACUGAGACACGGCCCAGACUCCUACGGGAGGCAGCAGUGGGGAAUUUUGGACAAUGGGCGCAAGCCUGAUCCAGCCAUGCCGCGUGAGUGAAGAAGGCCUUCGGGUUGUAAAGCUCUUUCGGCUGGGAAGAAAUCGCACCCUCUAAUACAGGGUGUGGAUGACGGUACCAGCAUAAGAAGCACCGGCUAACUACGUG
rnacentral:rRNA from 1 species